GGAUAACUCUGGAAACGACUAUCGAUCUGCCCUCCGAAGGCAGAGGUCACAGGUUCGAAUCCUGUCGGGUGCGCCA
rnacentral:tRNA from 1 species